GGGUUAGUAGGUUGGUCAUGCCUCUGGUAUGUACUGGUCUCACUGAUUCCUCCUUCCUGAUGAGCCGUAAUGCCAUUAAUUUGGUGUUGCGGGGAAUUUGGACUGUUACUUUGAAAAAAUUAGAGUGUUUAAAGCAAGCUAACGCUUGAAUACAUUAGCAUGGAAUAAUGAAAUAGGACGUUCGAUCCUAUUUUGUUGGUUUUCGGGAGCUUGGUA
rnacentral:rRNA from 1 species